UUUAAACCCUUUACAAUGAAGAUCUGUGAAGCUAUUUGGAUUUUAAUGAAUUAUCUUUGAAUGACAGGGUCCUGAAAAGGGGCCAUUUCUUUUUUUGCUGAGUUUACAAUCCAUCAGGAUUUACAACCCCUAUUUUUAUUGCAUUUAUUUCCAUCAAUAAUUAGUUGAAUUAUUGCACCUGAAUUGCACCCUGAAAAUGACUGUUAUAUUUUUCCUUAAAGCUUUCAAUCAAUUAACAUAAUUUGUCUGGUAAUUGUAUUUAAUUUCAUUGGCUACAUUUUUUAUAAUUGAACCUUUUAUUUAACUAGGCAAGUCAGUUAAUUAAGAACAAAUUCCUAUUUACAAUGACGGCCUCCUGCAGGGACGGGGGCUGGGAUUAAAUUUAGGAGGUAGGCAUAUCCUUUCCAGCUAAAACUUUGAUUGGAAUCUGUGCUUCAUGAGCAGCAAUCAAUCUGCAUGCAGGCAGCCUGCUCCAGCUCAUUGGUCAAAAUUCCAUAUGGCAGUUGGAACAGACACAGCUGGAAAACAUAGACAGUUUCUUUACACAAUUUACACAAUUUUUUACAUUUGACUGCUAAAUGGUAGUCCCUGUUCUCCUGCAUUCUUGUUUUACUUUCGUAAGUGAAGCGGCAGUUUGUUGGGGAGAAGAAUUUCAAGGAAACAUUUGCUAGCUAUUUAACAUUAGCUCUCUGGCUAAUCCUCCAUGGACAUGGAAUCUUCUAGCUUGGAUGGAGGAAGGAACAAAGGGAAUGAGUAUAGAAAUUUCCUGAAACAUGUCAAUGACCUGAUGCAUGGCCUCUACAUGGGUGCUUGGCCACACACUCAGUUACCAGUGACUUAUUCUGCCACAUUGCCAGGGAAGGAAGAGAGCAGAACCACUCUUCCAUAAAUCCAUGACAGUGCGAAACCCUUGUCCUGAAAAAGUUGAUCUGACCCAUCAAACGACUCUUCAAGAGGGUCACCACGCUCCAGAUCUCUUUCUGUGCUCAGAGGUACUUGAUGAGGAUCUACCCCAUCACACCAAUGAAUUAUUAAUCAAAUAAAACAAUGGGCCUUUGUAUAGUCUGUCCCAGUCUUUUUUUGCAUGUAAUGUCUGUGGUUGAAUUAUGAAACGAUUUCUGUAUGCAGAUGUAUGUCGUUUAUCUAUUUUAAAUGUAAGAAUAUGUUACAGAUGAACUUUAAAUGGUGACUAUGGAAACAAUCAGAAAUGUAACGAGCAAUGUUUUCAAUAUCCAACUUUAUCCUCUGCGAUACGUUUUACCACCCUUCUUUUUUCGAAGGGCGCUAUCUGGAACCUAAAAGGGUUAUUCGGGCAGUUUCCAUAGGAGAACCAUUUGAAGAGCCCUUUUUGGUUUCAAGUAGAACUGUUUUUGUUUCAGGUAGAAGUCUUUUGGGUUCUAUGUAGGACCUGUUCCACGGAAGAUUCUACAUGGAAACCAAAAUGGUUAUACGUUAAACCAAAAAGGCCUUUCCGAUGGGGACCGCCGAAGACCCCUUUUGGGACCCUUUAUUCUAAGAGUGUAGGUAAUAAACUCUAGUCAGGUAGUCCAUUAUUAUUUUUAAAUUUAAUUAGGCAAGUCAGUUAAGAUCAAAUUCUUAAAUUACGAUCACAGCCUACAAAAUUCUUUAACUAGUACCAUGUUAUGAUGAAGUCUUAACAAUGACCAGUAGGCUACAUCAUAUAGUGGUCAGAAUCAUGACCAGCUGGUCAGAUAGAGGUCACAGUUAUGACCAAUUGGUAUAAUGGUGGUCAGAAAAAUGUCAUAUUCUGGUCCAGUAAAAAUAUGUUUAAAAAAAGCUUCCCUUUUAAACCAGUUUGCGACCAGAAUAAGAUGUCAAAAAAAAAUACAUUUUCAGCCAGAGUUUGCACACUGGGUAGUAACCGAAGCAUAGGACAAAAUUCAGUAGUCACUGCAGCCUAAAGUAAACGGAAAUACAUUUGUCAAAAUGUUAUAAUUACUCCUGUCUAUACAAAAAUGAGUAAAGUAAUUCAAGACAAGCAAGACCGAGGACCAUUUAGUUUCUUUCAAAGCUGUGGAUUGUUUCAAAUCCCAAGCGUGGACUAGUUGGGAAGCCCGCAAUUUGCGGCUGUUAGUGAAAAAGCAAUGCAUUUCAAAUACGUGUGAAGAUAAUGUGUCUUGAGUACAAUUUGAAAUGUUGUGAGAAGAAGGGGAGGGGUGUGUGGUGAAGAUAUUGGUGUCUCUCCAGAAUGUGCUCAGUCCUCCAGAAUGCACUGGGCUGCCUCCCGCCAAAUUCUUGCACAUUCAUAGUUUUAUUGUGUUAAUAGUUUGUCCUUAGAUGUUUUAUUUUUGUAUCAAUUCCCCAUUACAUACAGUAUGUCACCAGUAGUAAAUUUGGUUGCAUUAAUUUAGGUUAAUGUAUGCAUGUAUUAAGUAGGUCUAUUUUUAUCGUUCUCUUUCUCGGAGUGGUAACAUUGUAGAGUUCACAAUAACUUUUGUUUUAUUAAAUAUCAUUUGACUUUGGCCAGACCCCCUCUCCCCCACAGAGAGGGGAGCUGAUGGGGAGUUGACUGUUGUAAAUCAUGGAUUGGAACUUUCAGCUAUUUCCCUCUCAAAAUUCACACAGGAAUGUGCCUUUGUUCACGUAGGUUUUCCCGCUGAAACUCUAACAUGUUCUAAAGUGAAUACUGGAACAAUAUUUCUAACAGA